rnacentral:rRNA from 1 species
UACGGAGGGGGCAAGCGUUAUUCGGAAUCAUUGGGCGUAAAGGGCGUGUAGGCGGCUUCGUGUGUCCCAUGUGAAAGCCCUCGGCUCAACCGGGGAACUGCAUGGGAAACUGCGGAGCUUGAGUCCGGGAGAGGAGAGUGGAAUUCCCAGUGUAGCGGUGAAAUGCGUAGAUACUGGGAGGAACACCGGUGGCGAAGGCGGCUCUCUGGACCGGUACUGACGCUGAGACGCGAAAGCCAGGGGAGCAAACGGGAUUAGAAACCCGAGUAGU